rnacentral:tRNA from 1 species
GCCCACAUAGCUCAGUCGGUAGAGCACGUCCUUGGUAAGGACGAGGUCACCGGUUCGAUCCCGGUUGUGGGCU